rnacentral:rRNA from 1 species
CCUGGCGGCCGUAGCGCUGUGGUCCCACCUGACCCCAUGCCGAACUCAGAAGUGAAACGCCGUAGCGCCGAUGGUAGUGUGGGGUUUCCCCAUGCGAGAGUAGGGAACUGCCAGGC